UAAAAGAAAGGGGGAAAUAAAGAAACCACAGCCUUCAUCUGGCUUUUAGGGAACUUAGGACACAUGGAAGAAAGCGCUUGGAAGGCUAUUGAAAUAUUUACAAAACAAAUCAUUUACGUUUAACUUUUGUAUAUGUAAAACCCGGAGAGCUGCCUACAAAGACAGAGGCAACUUUAGUUAUGAGAUAUUUUGGCAUCAAAAUGGUUAAUAGUAUUAUAGCUUCAAAAGAGCCUAUUGGCUCACCCUCAAGGAUGCCCUGCAGUUGUUGUUAAAGUCAUCACAUGAAGCUAGCCUGCUCAGCUAGCCUUUAGAUUUGUCUGCUAACAGUAAAAAUACUAUAAUAAAUCGGUAACAUAUGUUGCCAGGCAAGGAAAAGUGAUAUAAAUAAAGAGACCAGGAGACCCAAACCAAGUACAAUGUGAAAAGAAUUUAACUUUCAAUCUCUGCGUUGGUUAAUUACCAUUUGAAAAGUCAUUUGAAAGUGUUACUCUUAUUUGCUUAUAUUCUUCCUCAUUUUUUUUUUUUUUCUCUUCAGAUUGCAUUCUUACCCAAAUACUCUUCGUGAUGGCCUGCUUUGCGGCUUUGGGAUUCUUUAGGGAAUGGAGAUCAGUUUCAUGGAUGACAUCCCAGUUUUCUCAUCAUCAGAAAAGAAAAAAAUCCUCUGGCCAGUGGAAGAAACAGUCACCAAAACGUGAAACAGCCUGGUGAGACAGCAAUAUUCAACUACGAAAAGACCAACAGCAUUGGUCAUGCCAUAUUGUACCUGUCUUUCGGUGUUCCUGCUGCCCACAGGCCUGGAAGCUUCAGACGGACAGGAUCUUGCAUUUUGGCUACUCCUGCACAUGGCCCAGAGUCUGGUAACCAGAAUGAACUUGAGUUGCGGUUAAACAGACAUGCGAAUCCUGCACCCCCACUCCAAGCACUGAGUAUAUCUUCCAGAACCAUAGCCUCUGCCUGGGGGAGGACUGAGCCUGCCCAGCAAGCUCACCGCAAGCUGGGAGAAGCCCAGACUCUGCAGGCACGUGGUUCUGCAGAACGAGCCCUGGAUGGACUCAGGCAGGCACACCCAGUGAUCUCUCCUAGAUUCAACAAUCAGGCCAGCAGCUGGUGUGACACUAAAUCUUCCCAGAGAAACAUAAACCCAGGAAAUGACAGCCUUGUCCCUAGCAUUGGCCUCAAUGCUCAUUGACAUAUCGAAGAAACUAAAGGGUGAAAGGAGGUGAUGGUUAAUUUUAUGCAUCACCUUGGCUGGAUGAUGGUGUCCAGUUAUUUGGUCAAACACUAGUCUAGAUGUUGCUUGAAGGUAGUUUUUAAAGGUGGUUAAAAUUUAACUCAAAAUAUUCCGAGUAAAGCAAAUUGCCCCCCAUGGUAUGGGUGGGUCUUAUCCAAUCAGUUGAAGGCCUUAAGCACAAGGACUGAGGUUUCCUGAAGAAGAAAUUCUCCUCAAGACGGCAACAUCGACUCUUACCUGAUUUUCCAACCUGCCUUACAGACUGCAGCCUUGCCAGUCCCACAACUGCAUGAAUCACUUCCUUCUCUCAAUCUCUCUUUCUAUUGUGUGUCUGUGUGUGUAUUCGCCUUCUGGUUCUGUUUCUCUGGAGAACCCUGCCGAUACAACCGACUAUGUUGAAUCUGUAGCAGAAGAGGUAGGGUGAUGGCCAUGAAAGCCAUGUUCGAGUUUCUAAUGGGUUCUCUAGGAUGAGGUCUUGGGCUUAUUUAAUGUGUCACAUCACUCUGACUAUCUUGAGAUGCUUGAGUAUCUGAGAUGCUUUAGAUAGUGCCUGAUGGGUCUUAUCAGUGGUGCUACAGAAAAGACGCUCAUGUUACAAGAAAGCUGAAUCAGAUGGCUGCCUGCUAGGGGUACUUCAAACUGUUUUGAGGACACUGACAUUAUCUAAUGCUUCUGUUAAAUAAUUAUAAUGUGAUCCCCCCCC
rnacentral:lncRNA from 1 species